GACUGGUGCGUUUGUCUCCUCGCUUCUCUCGAGAGGAAAAAUAACAUGGCGGCGACCUUGCGGGCUGCGAAGCGGUUUUUGCAGAAUCCAAGCAAGGUGACUCCAACAUUGUCUCGGUCAAUAUUCCAAAUAGGAAGGGAAGAUUUAAAAAAUCCUAACUGGAUAAAAGUUGGCCUAAGUCUUUCUUCAACAGUCCUACUAUGGGUUAUGCUUAUCAGGCAUCAUAAUUAUGAAAUGGCAGAAUAUGAAAGGAGAAAAAAAGAUUCUUAAUGCCAAUCUGAUUGUUAUGAUUGAAGAUAUAGCUGAGGCAUAUUCUGCAGUGAAAUUAUCAAAGCUGGAUUUAUUCAUAAUUAAUAUUAAUCUUCCUGAAAUAAAACACUGACUAGUAUGGAAAGAAA